GCUAGAAGCUGGAGAUACAGUGAUGCACAAAGCAAAUGUAUUCUGUGUCUUCUUGAUUAUAGUCUAGUAGGGAAGAGAAAAAGGUAACCAAAAAAUUACAAUAUGAUGUAAUAGAUUCUGUGAUAGGAAGGUGCAGGGAACUGUGGGAAGGGAUACAGAAGUGUAUGAUUCAGGAAAGACUAUAUGAGGAGGACCUCAAGCACAAGUGGGAAUUAAAUGGAAGGCAGAGGAGGACGAGAGUGUUUGAGACAAAAGACACAGGAAGAGCCAAGAAUGCAAGGUGGGAACCUUAAUAGUGUGUUCGAGAAAUCACAAGUAGUUCAGACUCAGCUUGAGGAGGGGACCGUGAAAGCUGAGAGUGAGGCUUGUGUGCCCCCUUAAGGGGCUUGCUCUCCUCCCAAGAGCUAUGGGGAGUCACAGGAUUGCAGGCAGGGGAGUGAUGCAGUCCUGUGUGUCUUAGAUCACUCAGGCUGAGGCAAGACUGAGACAGGAAGAUCAAUCUUUUGCAGUGAUCCAGAUGAGAAAUGAUGUGAGCCUGGACCGUGAGAAAGACGAGACAGUGUAUGCAUAGGGUAUAGACUUGAGAGAGGGAUUUGAGAUGGAAUCAAGAGUUGUGUUAAUUCAUUGGCCUAUCAAACAGAGAAGAAAUUGGAGUCAAGAGUGACUCAUGGCCAGCUGGGUGGCACCAGUCAUUGAGAUAGAGAACUAAGAGAACUGAUUUCCCAAAGAAAAUGAGCUGUUAGAUUUGAUAUUCCCAAUGGACAUCAGCAAGAGAUGUCUACUAGGCAGUAGGGCACAUGGAUGUGAAGCCUAUGAAGCAGAUUUGGGCUGUAGCUGUAGAUCUGGGUGGGGGUUCUCAGCCCUGGGGCUUCACCCUAUCCUCCUCCAAAGCCCUACCCUCUGCCUGAGGCCAGGUCCCCAGUCCCUAGCCCCUUCCCCCGCCAGGUGUACAGUGCCGAUGGAGAGUUCCUCUUCAAGUUUGGCUCCCAUGGCGAGGGCAAUGGGCAGUUCAAUGCCCCCACAGGAGUAGCUGUGGACUCCAAUGGAAACAUCAUUGUGGCUGACUGGGGCAACAGCCGCAUCCAGGUAUUCGACAGCUCUGGCUCCUUCCUGUCCUAUAUCAACACAUCUGCAGAACCACUGUAUGGUCCACAGGGCCUGGCACUGACCUCGGAUGGCCAUGUGGUGGUGGCUGAUGCUGGCAACCACUGCUUUAAAGCCUAUCGCUACCUCCAGUAGCUGUACAGAGGCCCUGCCUGGCUUGUGGAGGGACAGACAUUGGGGUGAUUGGACAAGAGGGUCUGGCUGGGAGGUGGGCCAGACCUGGCAGCACUGAAUGUGGGCUGUGGGCAUGGGUGCACCCGGUGCCCUCCCUCUCCUACCCCCACCCCCACGGUUGCACUUUAUUUAUUCGGUUCUUGCUUUGGUGACUGGGUGAGCCUGGACUGUGGUCCCAAGGAUGUGUGCAGAGCUUCACCCUACCCUUCUUACACACCUCCCCACCCCUGUCAGUCUGCUCCCCAUCCCCCAGCCUGGGGCCAGAACAGCCUACCCCAGGACAGGAGUCCCUCUAGUUGUCUCCCUACCACCCUAUACACACUGACAGAGACAGCAAUACCCCACCCCCCAUAUUAAAUAAAUGUCUUCACCAAGA
rnacentral:lncRNA from 10 species